rnacentral:snoRNA from 1 species
UCCCAAAGAGAUUCUUUCUCCAGGGGACAAAUCAUAUACUCUAGGAAUGUAGCUCCUUGGGAAAACAGCUGAUAUUCUUGAGAAUACUGUAGGUGAGCAUAUGU